rnacentral:lncRNA from 1 species
CAAAGCUCGACCCCGGUGUGGUGCGCAGGCGUAGUCUGCGCGGGGACUGGCGGGACUGCGCGGAGGCGACUACAGGCAUGGCGGUCUGGGUCCUGUCGCGCCUGCUGAGCGCUCCGCGCCUGGCGCUGGCCAAGGCGGUCCUGAGGCACGUGAAUGGCCAGGAUCAGAUUGUGCCCGGCCUGUACGCCUGUGGGGAGGCCGCCUGUGCCUCGGUACAUGGUGCCAAUCGGCUCGGGGCAAACUCGCUCUUGGACUUGGUUGUCUUUGGUCAGGCAUGUGCCCUGAGCAUCGAAGAGUCAUGCAGGCCUGGAGAUAAAGUCCCUCCAAUUAAACCAAACGCUGGGGAAGAAUCUGUCAUGAAUCUUGACAAAUUGAGAUUUGCUGAUGGAAGCAUAAGAACAUGAGAACUGCGACUCAGCAUGCAGAAGUGCCGCUGGGUUAGGGUCUCCACAACCGAGCUGGUCUCAGCAAGUGGCGCCCACACAUGGGGGCUCGAAUCCAGGUCGAAGGGUCACCGGAGCGACAGAAAACUUGGAACUAAGCUGGAGGACACCGAGUACUCUUAUGCAGUCCCCAUGGAAUGGUCUGGAACACGGACCUGGUGGAGACCCUGGAGCUGCAGAACCUGAUGCUGUGUGCGCUGCAGACCAUCUACGGAGCAGAGGCGCGGAAGGAGUCACGGGGCACGCACGCCAGGGAAGGCUACAAGGUGCAGAUUGAUGAGUACGAUUACUCCAAGCCCAUCCAGGGGCAACAGAAGAAGCCCUUUGAGGAGCACUGGAGGAAGCACACCCUGUCCUAUGUGGACGUUGGCACUGGGAAGACCCGUAAUCGACAAAACUUUGAACGAGGCUGACUGUGCCACCGUCCCCCCAGCCAUUCGCUCCUACUGAUGAGACAAGAUGCGGUGAUGACAGAAUCAGCUUUUGUAAUUAUGUAUAAUAGCUCAUGCAUGUGUCCAUGUCAUAACUGUCUUCAUACGCUUCUGCACUCCGGGGAAGAAGGAGUACAUUGAAGGGAGAUUGGCACCCAGGCUGGGAGCUUGCCAGGAACCCAGUGGCCAGGGAGCGUGGCACUUACCUUUGUCCCUUGCUUCAUUCUUGUGAGAUGAUAAAACUGGGCACAGCUCUUAAAUAAAAUAUAAAUGAACAA